rnacentral:ncRNA from 1 species
UGUAAAAGUAGAGUUUUACGAAAGCUUUUUUUUUGGUAGAGGCUUAUAAGACAUGCUGGCUAUAAGUUUCAGUAGUCUGGGUAAUUAAAAUUUAGUUAGCCCUAAGUAAAGGUUAAAUUUGUGCCAGCAACUGCGGUUAGACAUUGUUUGUAACCAAAAAUAACCAGGCAUGCUAGUUUGUAGUGUGUACCUGUAGAUUAUGGUGAAAUAGAUUAGGCUUAAGCACACAUAACUCAGGUGAGGCUAAAUAGAACCAGGAUUAGGUACCCUGCUACUAACUAGACAAGUCUAAGGAUUAUUUUUAUAAAUUAUACGGUUUGGCGGCUAGUUAAAAUUAGAGGAGUUUGCCUAUAAUCGAUGAGCCCCGCUAACUCUUACUUAGGUAAAUUAUGUACACCGUCAUUUAGCUAAUUUAAGAAUAAAAAUUAGGGCCCUUAGUUAAGCAAGCUAGACCAAGGUGCAGAGCGGCUAAGUUUAGUUAACUACAAUAUGCAGGUAUAUAUCCAAAAAGGGUUUGUGACCUUGUGAGAGUGGAUUUAACAGUAAGCACUUAGGCCUGACUCGGUCUAACUAGUGUACAAAUUGCCCGUCAAUCUCUCUGGGAUAAGUCGAAACAAAGUAGAAGCACCGGAAGGUGCUUCUA